GACGAACGCUGGCGGCGUGCUUAACACAUGCAAGUCGAACGGAAAGGCCCUGCUUUUGUGGGGUGCUCGAGUGGCGAACGGGUGAGUAACACGUGAGUAACCUGCCCUUGACUUUGGGAUAACUUCAGGAAACUGGGGCUAAUACCGGAUAGGAGCUCCUGCUGCAUGGUGGGGGUUGGAAAGUUUCGGCGGUUGGGGAUGGACUCGCGGCUUAUCAGCUUGUUGGUGGGGUAGUGGUUUACCAAGGCUUUGACGGGUAGCCGGCCUGAGAGGGUGACCGGCCACAUUGGGACUGAGAGACGGCCCAGACUCCUACGGGAGGCAGCAGUGGGGAAUAUUGCACAAUGGGCGGAAGCCUGAUGCAGCAACGCCGCGUGCGGGAUGACGGCCUUCGGGUUGUAAACCGCUUUCGCCUGUGACGAAGCGUGAGUGACGGUAAUGGGCAAAGAAGCACCGGCUAACUACGUG
rnacentral:rRNA from 1 species